CCAUUAGUGGUCCUCUUCAGCCACUGAUCACUGCCAUAGUGGGCCCCUCCCACAAGCAACCAACUGUCAGUGAGUGACCAUUAGUGGUCCCAUUUGUUGGUGGAAUAGUGGUCCUCAAGCAGAGAGUGAGGGAUGUGUUUGCCUCAUGAGGGAUAUUUCUAUUAUUUGAUAUUAUGGAAAGCUGAAAAAAACUGAGAAGUAAGAGACCAGACCAUCAAAUAUCAUUUAAUAGCAAUUGCUAAGAAUAAUCGUGAUGACUUAGAAGAAUAUGGAUUGGAACAAAUAUGACUAAAACUAAAAGGCAGAAUAAUUGAAGGGUGAAGGAAAGAACAUUUAGAAAACAGAUGUUGUAUUAACCAUAACCAUUAUCCUUUAUUGGAUCCCAAAGAGGUUUAUCUCUAUCCAUAAACAGGUGAGGGAGAUACAAG